rnacentral:lncRNA from 1 species
AACAUGGUUACUCACAAAACCCUCAAACCAACCCCCCACCCCCCCAUUAUCAAGUUUCAUGGCUUCUCUUGUUCUUCUCUUGUCUGAACUUCUCAAACCCCAAACCACUGACCCAUAUGCUGCAACAUCACUGCCUUCUUCAUGUUCUUCUUCUUCUUCCUCAAAUGCCAAAAGGGUGACAGCAGAGUACUCCACCAUGGUUGAUCAAGAACCCAAGGAGGAGAUGAGGGUCUCUGUGGAGCUGGUUUGGCCUUAAAAAUUGGGUUAUGGUCACAUAGUCUGUGUAUAGAGUUCUUCAACUGGUUAGUCAGCUCUGGAUAUUUGCAAUGUAAUUUUGAUUGACUGCUUCUUGUUUAUCAGCCAUUUUCAAUUUUGUUGUAUAUCUUUCUCCUCCACCCGAUCCUUUUCUUUUCUCUCGAAUCCUCCUGGAUACAUAUGGAUUGAUUCAUGGAAAUUUGUGGAAAAACAUUUAUUUAAAGAAAAUCAAUAUCAUCCAAAGGACACAUGCAAGCUUUUCGAACAUAAAAAAAAUGAAGAGAAAAUUAGAUAAGUUGGAUAAUAAAAUAAUAAAUAUUACCAAUUUAUUUUUAUUUAAAAAAUAAUCAAACAAUAAAAUGAAUUAAAAAAUGGAUUACUAUCUUCAUUAUCUUAAUUACAAGUAAAUUUUGUAAUGCCAAGACUUAUAAUGAAUCCAUCUCAAUCUUGUAAGGCUUCUUCUCCUUCAGCAUCUCUCUCACAGCUUCCCUCAAAUCCUCUUCUUCCUCUUCCCCCUCAAAACAAUCUCCCAAACCUUCAUCCUCACUCUCCAUUUUCAUCGUCCUCUCCGCUGGUCUGAUGACAAUAAGCGUUGCCCCAUUCAUCACACGCCCAGAAGCUGGCAACUCUAGGACGGGCACAUGCCACAGUUUCACACGCACUGCUGGAACCAUUGUUCUCUCCACUGGUGCUGUGGGGUUCAUGCUUCUUCUCAGCUCCUUGAAUUGUUCUUCUCCCAUGAUCAGCCUUCCUUGUUUACUCGAAUCUGAAAUCAUUACACUCUGGGGAUUCAUGGGGAUGUCUGCAAUGAUCUGUUUCAACAACCAGUGCCUUGUGGAUGCUGCAAUCAAACUUGAUAUCAUCCACACAACUCUCGUCUUCAGCUCGUCGGUUGCCGACAUGGGCUCAUGAAGUUGCUUGUGCUUUUUGUGAGAACUUGGAGUUGAGCUACUUCUAUGGAAAGAUGUUGCCCCUAGUACCACACAGCUCUCGAGUUCUCUCCCAAACUCAGCUUUCCACCUAAGGAAAUAAUCAGUACCCUUGGACCCCAGCUCGUCGCCAUGGCAAGGAAGUUGAAUACUCAGCCUCUUAAUGUUAAUGAAAUUCCUUAGAACUUCCGUGGUAAACUGGUAUGUUUCAUCUUCAUCUGAGUUCACCGACAGUUUUGGGACGACUGUUUGGUACAGGAACUGAAGCGGUUUGGUGAUGAAUUUGCCGACCAGAUACUUUAGGAAGACGAUGAAAAAAGUACCACGCUUGGGUUUGGAGUUGUUUGAAGAAGGAACUAUGAGUGAAACAUUGUCGGUUUGGGGAAUAAGGGAAGCGAAUCGCUU